rnacentral:tRNA from 1 species
GGCGCUAUAGUGUAGUGGUUAUCACUUGGGAUUCUGACUUUCGCUCGUUGCCUUCCCAAGACCCAGGUUCGAUCCCUGGUAGCGCCU